rnacentral:rRNA from 1 species
CCUACGGGGGACAGCAGUGGGGAAUAUUGCACAAUGGGGGAAACCCUGAUGCAGCAACGCCGCGUGAGUGAAGAAGUAUUUCGGUAUGUAAAGCUCUAUCAGCAGGGAAGAAGAUGACGGUACCGGACCAAGAAGCCCCGGCUAACUACGGGCCAGCAGCCGCUGUAAUACGUAGGGGGCAAGCGUUAUCCGGAUUUACGGGGUGUAAAGGGAGCGCAGACGGCCGUGCAAGUCUGGAGGGAAAGCCCGGGGCCCACCCCCGUAACUGCUCUGGAAACUGUGCGGCUAGAGUACUGGAGGGGCAGGCGGCAUUCCUAGUGUAGCGGUGCCAUGCGUAGAUAUUAGGAGGAACACCAGUGGCGAAGGCGGCCUGCUGGACAGUAACUGACGUUGAGGCUCGACAGCGUGGGGAGCAAACAGGAUUAGAUACCCGAGUAGUC